GGAGAGGUGUCCGAGGGGUUUAAGGAGCUGGUCUUGAAAACCAGUGACUCUUAACGGAGCCGUGGGUUCGAAUCCCACCCUCUCCGCCA
rnacentral:tRNA from 1 species